UACGGAGGGUGCAAGCGUUAUCCGGAUUUACUGGGUUUAAAGGGUGUGUAGGCGGACUUUUAAGUCAGUGGUGAAAUCCCGGGGCUCAACCCCGGAACUGCCAUUGAUACUAUUGGUCUUGAAUACUGUGGAGGUGAGCGGAAUGUGUCAUGUAGCGGUGAAAUGCUUAGAGAUGACACAGAACACCGAUUGCGAAGGCAGCUCACUACGCAGUGAUUGACGGCUGAGG
rnacentral:rRNA from 1 species